GGGUUGUGAGGUUAAGCGACUAAGCGUACACGGUGGAUGCCCCGGCAGUCAGAGGCGAUGAAGGACGUGCUAAUCUGCGAUAAGCGUCGGUAAGGUGAUAUGAACCGUUAUAACCGGCGAUUUCCGAAUGGGGAAACCCAGUGUGUUUCGACACACUAUCAUUAACUGAAUCCAUAGGUUAAUGAGGCGAACCGGGGGAACUGAAACAUCUAAGUACCCCGAGGAAAAGAAAUCAACCGAGAUUCCCCCAGUAGCGGCGAGCGAACGGGGAGCAGCCCAGAGCCUGAAUCAGUGUGUGUGUUAGUGGAAGCGUCUGGAAAGGCACGCGAUACAGGGUGACAGCCCCGUACACAAAAAUGCACAUGCUGUGAGCUCGAUGAGUAGGGCGGGACACGUGGUAUCCUGUCUGAAUAUGGGGGGACCAUCCUCCAAGGCUAAAUACUCCUGACUGACCGAUAGUGAACCAGUACCGUGAGGGAAAGGCGAAAAGAACCCCGGCGAGGGGAGUGAAAAAGAACCUGAAACCGUGUACGUACAAGCAGUGGGAGCACGCUUAGGCGUGUGACUGCGUACCUUUUGUAUAAUGGGUCAGCGACUUAUAUUCUGUAGCAAGGUUAACCGAAUAGGGGAGCCGAAGGGAAACCGAGUCUUAACUGGGCGUUAAGUUGCAGGGUAUAGACCCGAAACCCGGUGAUCUAGCCAUGGGCAGGUUGAAGGUUGGGUAACACUAACUGGAGGACCGAACCGACUAAUGUUGAAAAAUUAGCGGAUGACUUGUGGCUGGGGGUGAAAGGCCAAUCAAACCGGGAGAUAGCUGGUUCUCCCCGAAAGCUAUUUAGGUAGCGCCUCAGUGAAUUCAUCUCCGGGGGUAGAGCACUGUUUCGGCAAGGGGGUCAUCCCGACUUACCAACCCGAUGCAAACUGCGAAUACCGGAGAAUGUUAUCACGGGAGACACACGGCGGGUGCUAACGUCCGUCGUGAAGAGGGAAACAACCCAGACCGCCAGCUAAGGUCCCAAAGUCAUGGUUAAGUGGGAAACGAUGUGGGAAGGCCCAGACAGCCAGGAUGUUGGCUUAGAAGCAGCCAUCAUUUAAAGAAAGCGUAAUAGCUCACUGGUCGAGUCGGCCUGCGCGGAAGAUGUAACGGGGCUAAACCAUGCACCGAAGCUGCGGCAGCGACGCUUAUGCGUUGUUGGGUAGGGGAGCGUUCUGUAAGCCUGCGAAGGUGUGCUGUGAGGCAUGCUGGAGGUAUCAGAAGUGCGAAUGCUGACAUAAGUAACGAUAAAGCGGGUGAAAAGCCCGCUCGCCGGAAGACCAAGGGUUCCUGUCCAACGUUAAUCGGGGCAGGGUGAGUCGACCCCUAAGGCGAGGCCGAAAGGCGUAGUCGAUGGGAAACAGGUUAAUAUUCCUGUACUUGGUGUUACUGCGAAGGGGGGACGGAGAAGGCUAUGUUGGCCGGGCGACGGUUGUCCCGGUUUAAGCGUGUAGGCUGGUUUUCCAGGCAAAUCCGGAAAAUCAAGGCUGAGGCGUAAUGACGAGGCACUACGGUGCUGAAGCAACAAAUGCCCUGCUUCCGGGAAAAGCCUCUAAGCAUCAGGUAACAUCAAAUCGUACCCCAAACCGACACAGGUGGUCAGGUAGAGAAUACCAAGGCGCUUGAGAGAACUCGGGUGAAGGAACUAGGCAAAAUGGUGCCGUAACUUCGGGAGAAGGCACGCUGAUAUGUAGGUGAAGUCCCUCGCGGAUGGAGCUGAAAUCAGUCGAAGAUACCAGCUGGCUGCAACUGUUUAUUAAAAACACAGCACUGUGCAAACACGAAAGUGGACGUAUACGGUGUGACGCCUGCCCGGUGCCGGAAGGUUAAUUGAUGGGGUUAGCCGCAAGGCGAAGCUCUUGAUCGAAGCCCCGGUAAACGGCGGCCGUAACUAUAACGGUCCUAAGGUAGCGAAAUUCCUUGUCGGGUAAGUUCCGACCUGCACGAAUGGCGUAAUGAUGGCCGGCUGUCUCCACCCGAGACUCAGUGAAAUUGAACUCGCUGUGAAGAUGCAGUGUACCCGCGGCAAGACGGAAAGACCCCGUGAACCUUUACUAUAGCUUGACACUGAACAUUGAGCCUUGAUGUGUAGGAUAGGUGGGAGGCUUUGAAGUGUGGACGCCAGUCUGCAUGGAGCCGACCUUGAAAUACCACCCUUUAAUGUUUGAUGUUCUAACGUUGACCCGUAAUCCGGGUUGCGGACAGUGUCUGGUGGGUAGUUUGACUGGGGCGGUCUCCUCCUAAAGAGUAACGGAGGAGCACGAAGGUUGGCUAAUCUGGUCGGACAUCAGGAGGUUAGUGCAAUGGCAUAAGCCAGCUUGACUGCGAGCGUGACGGCGCGAGCAGGUGCGAAAGCAGGUCAUAGUGAUCCGGUGGUUCUGAAUGGAAGGGCCAUCGCUCAACGGAUAAAAGGUACUCCGGGGAUAACAGGCUGAUACCGCCCAAGAGUUCAUAUCGACGGCGGUGUUUGGCACCUCGAUGUCGGCUCAUCACAUCCUGGGGCUGAAGUAGGUCCCAAGGGUAUGGCUGUUCGCCAUUUAAAGUGGUACGCGAGCUGGGUUUAGAACGUCGUGAGACAGUUCGGUCCCUAUCUGCCGUGGGCGCUGGAGAACUGAGGGGGGCUGCUCCUAGUACGAGAGGACCGGAGUGGACGCAUCGCUGGUGUUCGGGUUGUCAUGCCAAUGGCACUGCCCGGUAGCUAAAUGCGGAAGAGAUAAGUGCUGAAAGCAUCUAAGCACGAAACUUGCCCCGAGAUGAGUUCUCCCUGACCCUUUAAGGGUCCUGAAGGAACGUUGAAGACGACGACGUUGAUAGGCCGGGUGUGUAAGCGCAGCGAUGCGUUGAGCUAACCGGUACUAAUGAACCGUGAGGCUUAACCUUACAACGCCGAAGGUGUUU
rnacentral:rRNA from 1 species